UACAUGGGGUGCAAACGUUGCUCGGAAUUAUUGGGCGUAAAGCGCACGUAGGCGGUUCGUUAAGUCGGAUGUGAAAGCCCUCGGCUCAACUGAGGAAGUGCACCCGAAACUGGCGAGCUUGAGUACGAAAGAGGAUCGCGGAAUUCCCGGUGUAGAGGUGAAAUUCGUAGAUAUCGUAAGGAAGACCAGUGGCGAAGGCGGGUCUCUGGACAGGUACUGACGCUGAGACGCGAAAGCGUGGGUAGCAAACAGG
rnacentral:rRNA from 1 species